AUGCCAGCGUCCCCGGUCAGUGAUGGAAGAGCUAAGCGGAACAGGACGGGUUGUUUCCAGAGGAAAGAAAGGGACCCCUCAGGCAAAGCUGGGGGCACCGCUGGGUGGAGAUUUGGGGUGGGGCAGGCUCCCCUUCUCCAGCCAGCACCGGGUGGGCAGGGGCCGGGGGUCCACCUGCUGGCUCCUGUGGGUGCUGGGCUCCUGGCCCCAUGCCCGGCAGUGCUCAUGGGUGGGGGCAGCACUAAGGAGCCCCCUCCACAGGGGAGCCUGGGCCCUGGGGAAGGGGGCAGGAGCUGGGCCUGGAAUGCGCUUCUAGCUCCAAUGCCACCUCUUGGAAGCCUCCCUGGGCUGCCACCCGGGUCAGGGUCCCAGCUAUGGCUCUUGUGCCCUCCCCCCCCCCCCAUGGUAAGCACAACAUCUUCUGGGCUGCUCUGGCUCCUGCUUCCCCGGAGCUGGCAGGACGGCCACCUGGAGCCGGCCCGGGGCCAUCUGCUGCUCCUGGGUCUGAGAAACUCAUUAAAAGGCCUACCUGUGCAGAAGGCGGGAAAGUGCGCGCGCCGGUGGUGGGGCCUGGGGAGCGGCCGUGCCCCCCACCCCACCCCGCUGCCCCCCUGCCUCCCGCAGGCAGAGUCCGUGAGACCCCAAACUCCUGGGCCGCCGCUGUGGCCACACGUGCGGGGACGCCAGCACCCCCCGGCUGGCUCUCGGUCCUGUCCCGGUUGCUCCAGUUCUGAUCCAGCCCCUGCAGGUCGGCGGCGCCAGGGCUGCUUCCCCAUGGGCGACCUGGAGGACGCUCCUGGCUCCUGGCUUCAGCCUGGCCCAGCCCUUACUGUUGGCCAUCUGGGGAGCGCAGGAAAGGGAAAGACCACAAACUCAAAAUCCCUCUGCUCCAAGCCCCCAGAGCUCCCCUGGGGUGCACCACAACACCCACGCACCACGGUGGUCUCCUGCCCCUCCGCACACUCAGCCACGGCCACUCUGGCCUCUCAUGCAGGCCUGGCUCCUGCCUCAGGGCCUUUGCACUGGCUCUCCCAUUCCCAGACAUCUGGAGAUGCCGCCUGCUCCCCGCGCCCGCCCGCACAGUGGAUUGGCCGCUGUUCUCCGGGCUUCCGGAGAAGUGGGGGUGGGCAAGGAUGUGGUCUGGAGCGCGUGAGAGAGACAGAGAAGUCGGGGCGGCGGCCACUUCCACAAAAGCAAAAUUAG
rnacentral:lncRNA from 1 species